UAGAAAUGGGGGCUCCUUUCAGCCUAAAAACAGCUUCAAUUCAAAUAAUAAGGGUUUUGGUACUCUUGUUGAUGAUGUUUUGGACUGAAGGGAGCUCCUAAUUCUU
rnacentral:pre_miRNA from 1 species